GAUGAACGCUGGCGGCGUGCCUAAUACAUGCAAGUCGAGCGAACGGACGAGAAGCUUGCUUUUCUGAUGUUAGCGGCGGACGGGUGUGUAACACGUGGAUAACCUAUCUAUAAGACUGGGAUAACUUCGGGAAACCGGAGCUAAUACCGGAUAAUAUUUUGAACCGGAUGGUUCAAAAUUGAAAGACGUUCUUGCUGUAACUUAUAGAUGGAUCGGCGCUGCAUUAGCUAGUUGGUAAGGUAACGGAUUACCAAGGCAACGAUGCAUAUCCGACCUGAGAGGGUGAUCGGCCACACUGGAACUGAGACACGCUCCAGACCCCUACGGGAGGCAGCAGUAGGGAAUCUUCCACAAUGGGCGAAAGCCUGACGGAGCAACGCCGCGUGAGUGAUGACGGUCUUCGGAUCGUAAAACUCUGUUAUUAGGGAAGAACAUAUGUGUAAGUACCUGUGCACAUCUUGACGGUACCUAAUCAGAAGGCCACGGCUAACUACGUG
rnacentral:rRNA from 1 species